UACGAGUGGUGCGAGCGUUGUUCGGAAUUACUGGGCAUAAAGAGCACGUAGGCGGUCUGGUAAGUCUGCUGUGAAAUCCCCCGGCUCAACCGGGGAACUGCAGCUGAUACUGCUGGGCUAGAGUGCGGGAGGGGAGAGCGGAAUUCCUGGUGGAGCGGUGAUAUGCGUAGAUAUCAGGAGGAACGCCGGAGGCGAAAGCGGCUCUCUGGUCCGCAACUGACGCUGAGGUGCGAAAGCUAGGGGAGCGAACAGG
rnacentral:rRNA from 1 species